UCAGGAUGAACGCUAGCGGCAGGCCUAACACAUGCAAGUCGAGGGCAGCGGGAUAAGCUUGCUUAUCCGCCGGCGACCGGCGCACGGGUGCAACGCGUAUAGAAUCUGCCCUGUACUGGGGAAUAGCCCAGAGAAAUUUGGAUUAAUGCCCCAUGGUAUGUAUUAGCGGCAUCGCUUAUACAUUAAAGGCUACGGUACAGGAUGACUAUGCGUCCCAUUAGUUAGUUGGUAAGGUAACGGCUUACCAAGGCAGCGAUGGGUAGGGGCCCUGAGAGGGGGAUCCCCCACACUGGUACUGAGACACGGACCAGACUCUACGGGAGGCAGCAGUGAGGAAUAUUGGACAAUGGGCGGGAGCCUGAUCCAGCCAUGCCGCGUGCAGGAAGACGGUCCUAUGGAUUGUAAACUGCUUUUGUACGGGAAGAACAAGGGGCACGUGUGCCCCUCUGACGGUACCGUAAGAAUAAGGAUCGGCUAACUCCGUGCCAGCAGCCGCGGUAAUACGGAGGAUCCGAGCGGUUAUCCGGAAUCAUUGGGUUUAAAGGGUCCGUAGGCGGGCCAUUAAGUCAGGGGUGAAAGUCUGCGGCUCAACCGUAGAAUUGCCCUUGAUACUGGUGGUCUUGAGUUAUGGUGAAGUAACUAGAAUAUGUAGUGUAGCGGUGAAAUGCAUAGAUAUUACAUAGAAUACCGAUUGCGAAGGCAGGUUACUAACCAUAUACUGACGCUGAU
rnacentral:rRNA from 1 species